AUUGAACGCUGGCGGCAGGCCUAACACAUGCAAGUCGAGCGGAUGAAGGGAGCUUGCUCCUGGAUUCAGCGGCGGACGGGUGAGUAAUGCCUAGGAAUCUGCCUGGUAGUGGGGGAUAACGUCCGGAAACGGGCGCUAAUACCGCAUACGUCCUGAGGGAGAAAGUGGGGGAUCUUCGGACCUCACGCUAUCAGAUGAGCCUAGGUCGGAUUAGCUAGUUGGUGGGGUAAAGGCCUACCAAGGCGGCGAUCCGUAACUGGUCUGAGAGGAUGAUCAGUCACACUGGAACUGGGACACGGUCCAGACUCCUACGGGAGGCAGCAGUGGGGAAUAUUGGACAAUGGGCGAAAGCCUGAUCCAGCCAUGCCGCGUGUGUGAAGAAGGUCUUCGGAUUGUAAAGCACUUUAAGUUGGGAGGAAGGGCAGUAAGUUAAUACCUUGCUGUUUUGACGUUACCAACAGAAUAAGCACCGGCUAACUUCGUG
rnacentral:rRNA from 1 species